rnacentral:rRNA from 1 species
GUGAACGCUGGCGGCGUGCCUAAUACAUGCAAGUCGAACGGAAUUUAAAAGAGCUUGCUCUUUUGAAUUUAGUGGCGCACGGGUGAGUAAUAUAUAGCUAAUCUGCCCCUUGCUGGAGGACAACAGUUAGAAAUGACUGCUAAUACUCCAUACUCCUUUUUACCAUAAGAUAAAUCGGGAAAGAAUUUCGGCAAGGGAUGAGACUAUAUCGUAUCAGCUAGUCGGUGGGGUAACGGCCUACCGAGGCUAUGACGCGUAACUGGUCUGAGAGGAUGAUCAGUCACAUUGGAACUGAGACACGGUCCAAACUCCUACGGGAGGCAGCAGUAGGGAAUAUUGCGCAAUGGGGGAAACCCUGACGCAGCAACGCCGCGUGGAGGAUGACACUUUUCGGAGCGUAAACUCCUUUUGUUAGGGAAGAAUAAUGACGGUACCUAACGAAUAAGCACCGGCUAA